GUCACAGGUGCUAGCCUCACUGCCUCCUGGUAACAGAGGCCGAAGUACAAGCACAUCAGAGCGUGAGAAGGCAGAAGACACCCCACUCUGAGCUCUGAACUUGGCACAGGCCCCAUCCUUGGCCGUCACACCCGGUCCCGCAGCACCUAGAAGUCCAGAGAAGCUGCGACCACAGCUAGGCGGGAGCCUCCGUUUCCACCGACAGGGCCACACGGAGAAGUGCGCCUUCUCCACUCAUGAGACAGCCGGGCGCUAGGAACAGACCGCUCCUCCUACCCCCCAAAACCGCCUCCAGAUGUCGGGCCCCCCAGUGAUGGACUGCCCUUGUCCACGGAGAUAAUCCCUGAACCCAGAGACUGUGGGUCCCAAGAGAACCCUAAGUGAGCUCCGCGCCCCCUGCCCCCCACCAAGCCCCAGGCAGUUACUUUAUUAACCUGGCAAACUGACUUAAGCUCCCUCGGCCGGGCCCGAAGAUGAGCCAUGAGUAUUCAAGUCACUGCUGCAGAAACACAGAAGCUGUGGCACCAAGGAACAAGCUCAGCAGACACAGGUCUUCCAAGGGUCGAGCGCCGGACCGUCACUUACUUGUAGGCGUUAGGCAGCAAAAAUACUACGUGUUGUGCCCCUUCUCUCUCUAGAACCAUCUCGAGGAUCCUGGCCAACAGUGGGCCCCGCGAGGUGGGGAGGCAGGCGAGGCAAAGAGAGCACGGGCUCGGGGCUCCCCGCCGGCCGCUAGCGCAGACAGUGCCACCUGCUGAGUGAGCCCCGUCCUGGCUGUGGGUCCCUGCUAACCCUCUGGUCACUUUCCUCUCUGAGCCUCAGCUUGCUAACCUAGAUGUCAUCCGGGCCCUUGUCCCCCAGGGCUGGCAAGAGGAGGGCAACAGGAGGGCCGUGAAGGCGGUUCACUGCCCGGUCCUUGGCGUCCACGGUUUGCCCCGACAGGGGACUUUCGGGUUUGGUUGGAGGCCUCGCGUAUCUGCCAGGCUCUAAAGACCCUGCAGGGGCCACAUUGGCAUCUGCCCGCAUACGAGCAGGUGGAUGGAUGUAGGAAACGCCCAACAGGACUCAGCCCGGGGAGGCACAGAGUCUUAGCAGAGGCCACGAUCCGAAGACACAGGCCCUGGUGCCUGCCAGAGAGGGAAGGAGCGGCAGGUGUGCGCUUACGAGGCGCCAGACCCCACGGUGGCCCUCGCGCCCUCUCCCCAGCACUGCGGCGGGACAGACGCCCUUCAUGGACAAGGAGGGACGCUGAGGCUUACAGAAGAUAACCACGUGUAACAAGAACAAAAGGCAAAGUGCCAACUUUAUUUGCGCUCCUGUCACAUUCCGGGCCCUGGAGGCUAAGUGCUUUAUACACAUUUCAAAACGAAUCUUCGAAACCACCCUGGGAAGGAGGGCUUAUUAGCCCAGGGCCACAGGUGGCGGAACAAAGACUUAAUAGAAGAUCUCACUGUUGCCAAACAGAUGCUUUCCCACUACCGGGAACCGCCUCCCACCGCAGGCGGGCAGGAAGGGACCGCCUGGUAUGGAGGGGAUGUAACAGAAAGCGGCACAGGGUCGGGCAGCAGGAGGGCGUCUACAGUGGCUGCUGGACAGAGACGGUGGCUGCUGACGGUGCACGGCUCCGGCUCUAACAGGCUGGACCGUGGAGAGCAAUGUCGAGGGGGAGAAGUCAGCUCCGGGGACACAGUGUACGAAACACACACGCAGAGAAGUUCAAACACAGCCUCUGUCGUCUCCAAGCUGCCGUCCCCCUUGCCCUUGGGGGAGGAGGGGGAGGUACAUGGUCUCUCGGGCGGGGAGAAGGCACACACUUGUGUAAAAACUGGUCGAGCCGCACACUUCCCGCUUCUGCACGGCGCCAGUGGGGGUCACACUACAGGUGAAGGAGAAGCUAGAACCCUCUUGGUGCAACCGGACCCCCUCCCGCCAGAGGCCAUGCCUGCAGAAGCGGAUGGAGCUCGGCCAGUGAACUGGGGCAGGCUGCUGCGGGUCACGGCGCAGGCUGUCACCGAGGCCACGCCUACCCGGGGACCCCACCCUCGGCCCACAGAAGGCAGAGGAGCCCUGGGCUCCUAGGGGACCCACGUGGGUGACUUCCUCACAACAGUCCACGUGGCUGGCAACGAGGGUCGAAGAGCUGACUUCCCUGUGACGCGGGUGAAUUUAAUAGACGUAAUAAAGCAACGAGUUCUGAUUUCCAGUAA